GUCAGUGAGGCGUAAGGAGGUGAGCUGUGACUACAGAGUGAGCUCAGGACCAAACUCUCUUUCUCCACGCAGUGAUGGGAAAAGCUUUGCACAUCUGGUGGGAGUUCACAUCAGUGAUCCAACAACUAUACAGACACCUUCUAUGGCAGUGGGUUUGACUCCAGGUCCUAGAUCUACUUUGCCUCCCAGCACGACAGUGAGUCCUACAGAAGGUGUGUUGGGCCUCUAAAUUACCAUCUCUGCAAGUUCCAAUUAUACAGUCAAGCGUUAAGAUUACGGGCCUGUAA